CCGAGGAGGUCCCCAAAUGAUGCGAAGCAUCAUUUUUGCAUGGGACCGACGAACUGCCCUCGAACAAAGUGAGGGGGCAACACUAUAA
rnacentral:sRNA from 1 species